UUGAUCCUGGCUCAGAAUGAACGCUGGCGGCGUGCUUAACACAUGCAAGUCGAACGAGAAAUCUUUAGCUUGCUAGAGAAAGUAAAGUGGCGCACGGGUGAGUAACGCGUGGGUAAUCUGCCUCCGAAUCGGGGAUAACAUUGCGAAAGCGAUGCUAAUACCGGAUAAAAUCUGGUUGGCUUCGGUGAACCGGAUCAAAGGUGGUCUCUUUAUAAAAGCUACCGUUUGGAGAUGAGCUCGCGUACCAUUAGCUAGUUGGUGAGGUAAAGGCUCACCAAGGCGACGAUGGUUAGCUGGUCUGAGAGGAUGAUCAGCCACACCGGAACUGGAACACGGUCCGGACUUCUACGGAAGGCAGCAGUAGGGAAUAUUGCGCAAUGGAGGAAACUCUGACGCAGCGACGCCGUGUGAGUGAUGAAGGCUUUCGGGUCGUAAAGCUCUGUCAGAAGGGAAGAACGGCGGUAUGGAUAAUACCCAUACCGAUUGACGGUACCUUCAAAGGAAGCACCGGCUAACUACGUGCCAGCAGCCGCGGUAAUACGUAGGGUGCGAGCGUUGUUCGGAAUUAUUGGGCGUAAAGCGCGUGUAGGUGGCUUGUUAAGUCGGGUGUGAAAUCCCUGGGCUCAACCCAGGACGUGCAUCCGAAACUAGCUCGCUAGAGGACAGCAGAGGGAGGUGGAAUUCCUAGUGUAGAGGUGAAAUUCGUAGAUAUUAGGAGGAAUACCGGUGGCGAAGGCGGCCUCCUGGACUGUUCCUGACACUGAGACGCGAAAGCGUGGGUAGCAAACAGGAUUAGAUACCCUGGUAGUCCACGCCGUAAACGAUGGGUACUAGAUGUUGUGAGAUAGACCCUCACAGUGUCGUAGCAAACGCGUUAAGUACCCCGCCUGGGAAGUACGGCCGCAAGGUUAAAACUUAAAGGAAUUGACGGGGGCCCGCACAAGCGGUGGAGCAUGUGGUUUAAUUCGACGCAACGCGCAGAACCUUACCCAGGUUUGACAUGCACCGGCACAGCGAGGAGAGUCGCUGGCCCGUUUCGGGACGGUGCACAGGUGCUGCAUGGCUGUCGUCAGCUCGUGUCGUGAGAUGUUGGGUUAAGUCCCGCAACGAGCGCAACCCCUGCCCGUAGUUGCCAACAGGUGAUGCUGGGGACUCUACGGGGACUAUCGGUGUGAAACCGGAGGAAGGUGGGGAUGACGUCAAGUCCUCAUGGCCCUUACGCCUGGGGCGACACACGUGCUACAAUGGGGCGGACAACGGGGGGCGACCCUGCGAGGGGGAGCGAAUCCCUGAAACCGUGUCUCAGUUCGGAUUGGAGUCUGCAACUCGACUCCAUGAAGGUGGAAUCGCUAGUAAUCGCGGAUCAGCAUGCCGCGGUGAUACGUUCCCGGGCCUUGUACACACCGCCCGUCACACCACGAAAGUUGAUAUACCCGAAGUCGCCGGGCCAACCGCAAGGGGGUAGGUGCCGAAGGUAUGAUGAGCGCUUGGGGUGAAGUC
rnacentral:rRNA from 1 species